AUUGAACGCUGGCGGCAGGCCUAGCACAUGCAAGUCGAGCGGAUGAAGGGAGCUUGCUCCUGGAUUCAGCGGCGGACGGGUGAGUAAUGCCUAGGAAUCUGCCUGGUAGUGGGGGAUAACGUCCGGAAACGGGCGCUAAUACCGCAUACGUCCUGAGGGAGAAAGUGGGGGAUCUUCGGACCUCACGCUAUCAGAUGAGCCUAGGUCGGAUUAGCUAGUUGGUGGGGUAAAGGCCUACCAAGGCGACGAUCCGUAACUGGUCUGAGAGGAUGAUCAGUCACACUGGAACUGAGACACGGUCCAGACUCCUACGGGAGGCAGCAGUGGGGAAUAUUGGACAAUGGGCGAAAGCCUGAUCCAGCCAUGCCGCGUGUGUGAAGAAGGUCUUCGGAUUGUAAAGCACUUUAAGUUGGGAGGAAGGGCAGUAAGUUAAUACCUUGCUGUUUUGACGGUACCAACAGAAUAAGCACCGGCUAACUUCGUG
rnacentral:rRNA from 1 species